rnacentral:lncRNA from 1 species
CGUAGAGGAUGAGAGGGCCUUCAACGGGACGGUCGAGGAGCGGUUUGCCAGCCUCGACACCAACUGUGAUGGCCUGCUUUCAUAUGCAGAGAUGGCGAAGGAGUUGAUGAGUCUUAGAGUACUCGAGACCCACUUCGGCGUGGAUGAGGUGAGGAUGAGCCCUGAUGAGCUCGUCCAGCUCUAUCGUGGCCUCUUUGCUCGGUUCGAUCAUGACGGCAAUGGAACGGUGGAUAUGGAGGAGUUUCGAGCAGAGAUGAAGGAGAUGAUGCUGGCUGUGGCGAACGGGCUCGGG